CCUAGGGAAUAAAGCUUUUCUCUUAACCUGCAGGUUCAAGUUUAAAUCAAUGGACCAAAUUUAUGCUGCUUCUCAUUAUUAUAUUUUCUGAUUAAAGAAACCUCUUCUCUAUUUUAAUUUUUAUUUAUGCUUCUCUCCAAAGCUUGUUUGAAGGAGAAUAAUUUGGAAUUAACACUUGUGAAUAAUGAGCAGUGGAGGCUACCACAACAUUGUAAAGCAGCCAUACUCCAAUAAAAAUUUUUAAAAAAAGACUUGUGGAUAAUGAAUUAAUGUUCAGUCUGUGUUCACUAAUGCUCCCCCCUCCUCACCCUAUGCCCCUCCAUCCUAAUGCUCAGCCAUCACAUCUCUUUGUGUGAAACAGUAACAGAAUGUGAAGAUGGGAAAUAGUGAAUCAUGGCUGUUUUUGCCACCCAGCAGCCUUUAGAUAGAGGCCUAGAAGAAAGAAGGUAAUUUAUUCCCUAAAUACUAAAACAGUUGUCUAUUGUUGUGAAUGAACUCAAAGCUCUAUGGACAAUGUUGUCAUCUCUUGCAGUUAUCAGACCAUCUGAUAUGGUCUCGUAGCAUUAUAAGUAAUCCUAUUAUAGCUAACUAAAGGAUUAUACACACAAUUUUAUUGUUUCUGAUACUACUGUAAAAUAAGUGGGCCAUUCACUGGGUCUUGGAACCUUUUUUUUUUUUAAUGUUUUGGUAUUUUUGGCAAUUGGAAUUAUAUACAGAUAUUAAAGUCUACCAUGCAAGAUCAGCUGAUUUACAAAGUGCAAAGGCAAUCUGACUAAGGAGCUUAAAAGAACUUCUUUUUCAAUUAAAGAAAAGUAACUUAAGAUUAGAAUUAGACAAAAAGUAAGUUGAGUGAUCAUCAGUCUCACUGGCUUUUUUUAGCUCAACAAAAGCUAUUUUUAUUCCUCCUUUUAAAAACUCGCCGUUUGUUUGUGUGGUGAAGGUACCUUUUAAUGAAGCUGUCUUUGGGGUCACCAUUUUUUAAUGCAAAUUUGGUUAUAUUGUUUAAUUGUCAUUAAGCGCAGUAUUAAUUUUUUCUCUGUUUCGGCAGAUUGAAUCUAUAAAUUGUCCCAUAUCUGUUGAUGAAAGGUAACACAAACCCUUGUAAAUGGGUGAUCUCCUCAAGAUCAGUGUUAAGAAAAGCAGGCCCCAAGGAUGUGCUCAUUCUGGCAUCACAUCUGAUCUUCAAGUUUUAUUUUGAUUUAUUUGAUGUUAACAUGGUUGUGUUCCCAGGUGUCAUUCUUUCCCUGCUAUACAGCAGCACUUUGUGUAUCAUUUUAACUAAUUAUUCAUUUAUCCCUUAGUCAAACGUAAUUUGGUCUUUGUGGUUUUGCAUCUUAAUUAUACAUCUCUAUUGCUGCUUUUAAUAUUAGUGAUAAAGAGUAGUUCUUGUUUGAAGAAAGAUGAAACGGUAGUGCUAAAAAAUAAAGAGGGCUUGGAAGUUAACGUUUCUUAAAAGUCUAGGACUUGGGAAGGUCGGUGAGUUGGUGCGGAGUUUGUCUCGGCACGCGUGGCCGCGCUGGGAUGGAGUCCUCCUCGUCUUCCUCCGCAGCGGGUUUGGGCUCGGUCGACCCGCAGCUGCAGCAUUUCAUCGAGGUAGAGACUCAGAAGCAGCGCUUCCAGCAGCUGGUGCACCAGAUAACGGAACUUUGUUGGGAAAAGUGCAUGGACAAGCCUGGGCCAAAGUUGGACAGUCGGGCUGAGGCCUGUUUUGUGAACUGCGUUGAGCGCUUCAUUGAUACAAGCCAAUUCAUCUUGAAUCGACUGGAACAGACCCAGAAAUCCAAGCCAGUCUUCUCAGAAAGCCUUUCUGACUGACCUGAGUAUUACCUCUUUGGAAAAGGAAGGUAGUUCAAGAAAUGAAGAGCAGUUGAUGGGAUGGUUGAAGAAAAGGCUGUGGGGGGAUCGGCUCCCACCUUUGUCACUCUUGGGACAUCCUGUCAUCUGAGAAUGAACAAAGACCAAUUUUUGUGUGUGGGGGUGGUUUGAGGGUCAAAUGUGUUUGGGGUUGUGUUUUUUAAUGCUAAUCUUGGGAAAACAAUUGACAGAUGAAUGGAAAACUCUACUAGAUGUAUAUUACUGUAUGUGGGACGAUGCUUUCCUCAUAGUCCCAUUAACUGCUUCCUACAAUUUUAAUAGUGGAACUGCUCUAUAGCUUGAUAGUGGGACCACAUAGGUAAUAAUCUGUUAUUUGUGUGGAUUCCUUUCAGAUUUCUGGAGAGAUCGAUAUACAUCUUUGUGUCUCUCAGAAAGGGCAGCAGUGGGGGAAAGAGUAAUUUGGUACUUGACUGGAGGCCUCCUUAUCUAAUGUUUGAUUAUCAGUGCUGGAAAAAAAAUGUAUGGAUUAUUCAUACAGUACAUUUCACCUUUCUAGGUUAUCUCCCUCCCUUAUACUGUGAUUCACUUAAAUAUCUGUAUGUAAAGUACAGUCUUGAGCUAGUACAGGUAGCCUGAGAGUCUAGAGGCCUUUAGUUAAAGGAAUCUAGCCAGCGAACAUAAUUCUCAUACUAAACUGCCACAAGGAACAAGUUAACUUACCCUGUAUGUCAGAGUCCAAAAAAAUUUAAAGAUGUGCCUAAAUGAAAAAAUAAGUUAUAAAGAUUUAGGCCAGUCAAAAACUAACAGCAGUUUCAGGUAGAGGUGCAUGCCUAAUGUAAAUCAGCAUAGUUUCCAUUUACUGCGUUCUAUUAAUCACUGAAAUAAAAGCUUCUACAAGAAAAAAAAAAAAAA